AAUUACACUCAACUGCCUUGAGGUUUCCUUAUAUAACACUAAAUUUUAAAUUUCAUCAAAUAUUACACUUCACUCAAUUUUCCUCAAGUAGAUAAUAAUUUUUUUAACAAUAUUCUCUAACAAAAAGUGGGGUAGAGUGUAGUAUUUAAGUAAAUUUGGAGUUUAGUGUCAUAAAAGGAAACCUCAAUGUAGCUGAGUGUAAUU
rnacentral:pre_miRNA from 1 species